rnacentral:rRNA from 1 species
AGUAAAUAGAUACCCAGGUAGUCCACGCCGUAAACGAUGUCGACUUGGAGGUUGUGCCCUUGAGGCGUGGCUUCCGGAGCUAAACGCGUUAAGUCGACCGCCUGGGGAGUACGGCCGCAAGGUUAAACUCAAAUGAAUUGACGGGGCCCGCACAAGCGGUGGAGCAUGUGGUUUAAUUCGAUGCAACGCGAAGAACCUUACCUACUCUUGACAUCCAGAGAACUUAGCAGAGAUGCUUUGGUGCCUUCGGGAACUCUGAGACAGGUGCUGCAUGGCUGUCGUCAGCUCGUGUUGUGAAAUGUUGGGUUAAGUCCCGCAACGAGCGCAACCCUUAUCCUUUGUUGCCAGCGGUUAGGCCGGGAACUCAAAGGAGACUGCCAGUGAUAAACUGGAGGAAGGUGGGGAUGACGUCAAGUCAUCAUGGCCCUUACGAGUAGGGCUACACACGUGCUACAAUGGCGCAUACAAAGAGAAGCGACCUCGCGAGAGCAAGCGGACCUCAUAAAGUGCGUCGUAGUCCGGAUUGGAGU